UACGUAGGGGGCAAGCGUUGUCCGGAAUCAUUGGGCGUAAAGAGCGUGUAGGCGGCCCGGUAAGUCCGCUGUGAAAGUCCAGGGCUCAACCCUGGGAUGCCGGUGGAUACUGUCGGGCUCGAGUCCGGAAGAGGAGUGUGGAAUUCCUGGUGGUAGCGGUGAAAUGCGCAGAUAUCAGGAGGAACACCAAUGGCGAAGGCAGCACUCUGGGACGUGACUGACGCUGAGACGCGAAGCGUGGGGAGCAAACAGG
rnacentral:rRNA from 1 species